UACCUGAAAUCUUGUUGGUCCUGAAUAUUU
rnacentral:piRNA from 2 species